UACGUAGGGACCGAGCGUUGUCCGGAAUCAUUGGGCGUAAAGAGCGUGUAGGCGGCUAUUUAAGUCCUGCGUGAAAUCCUGCGGCUCAACCGCAGACGGUCGUGGGAAACUGGAUGGCUAGAGUGCGGGAGAGGAGAGUGGAAUUCCCGGUGUAGCGGUGAAAUGCGCAGAUAUCGGGAAGAACAUCGGUGGCGAAAGCGCUCUACUGGGCCAUAACUGACACUCAGGGACGAAAGCUAGGGGAGCGAAUGGG
rnacentral:rRNA from 1 species